UACGGAGGAUGCAAGCGUUAUCCGGAAUGAUUGGGCGUAAAGGGUGCGCAGGCGGCAGUGUAAGUCUGCUGUGAAAGAAUGAGGCUUAACCUUAUCAAGGCAGUGGAAACUACACAGCUAGAGUACGGUCGAGGUAGAAGGAAUUCCUGGUGUAGCGGUGAAAUGCGUAGAGAUCAGGAAGAACACCGGUGGCGAAAGCGUUCUGCUAGACCUGUACUGACGCUGAGGGACGAAAGCUAGGGGAGCGAAUGGG
rnacentral:rRNA from 1 species